GUGUGUCCCAUCGGCCGUCGGCGACAGAGCCUCAGCCAUGGCGAGGAAGACCCACGAGCAGCAAGCCCAGCGGCUGUGACGCACACGGCCGCAGGCGACAGUGCCUCAGCCAUGGCAGAAUCGCAGCGGAUAGACGGUCUCCAGGAACCAUUCGUGGUACUUAGAGGUCAACAUUUGCCCGAUGGCAAACCCAAUCGUCGUCCCACUUCCAAAUCCCAUGAAUAUGACAAUCCAAUCAGCUCCACUAGGAAAUGUUGAAUCCUUGCUUCCUUCGGAGUCUACAGGCUGCGGUGACAAUGUUGGUGAGGGAGCAUCCAAUUCUCCACAGUGCCUUGACAGCGGCUCCCCGCAAAGUCCUGAAUUCCCUUCAUACGAGUUGUUCUGAAACGUAUUGAAUUGAUGACCUUUUGGGACAUGUCCAACAAGAUUAUUGUGGGAGACAUUAAAGAAUGCAAGGAAAGUGAGUUGUGUUAAUUGUUGAGGGAUCUCCCCCGAGAGCUUGUUUUGAGCAAGGUCCAAGGCUUCAAGGUUGGAGAGGUCCCCCAAGAAUGAUGGGAUUCCACCACUCAACUCGUUGUUAGAGAGGUUCAGUAGCUGAAGUGCCUUGAGAUCUCCCAAAGAUUUUGGAAUUCCCCCUUCAAAUUUGUUGCUUGAGAGAUCAAUGCCAAUGAAAAUGUCCAAAGUCUUAAUAUACUCUCUGGCUACACCUUUGUUUGUUAUGGUCAUAGAGUAGAAAAAAUCGUGUUCCCACCAUAUACCUGGUAGCAACUGAAACUCGAUGGGGGGGAUUGCUUGAUUUGUCUCUUUUUUUCCAAGUGGUUUCAUUGCAUUCCAACUACGAAUGUAUUUUGUUGGCAAAUCACCUGAAAAACCAUUGCGGGAGAGGACGAUGAUGCGUAACUUUGAGAACUCAAACUUGGUUCUUGGACUCCUUAUUGCACCAUAGAAUUUGUUGGAGUGCAAGUUGAGAACCUCUAGCUCUGUAAGAGUUCCCAACCAAAAAGGGAAUGCAUCUUCAAUUAGAUUAUCGGAGACGUCAAGAAUCUUAAGCUCGGUACAAUUUGCCAAUGAUUUUGGUAGUUUCCCUGAUAGUCGAUUCUGAGCGAAGCCAAUUAACUCUAGAUUGUUUCCUUUAUUGUAUGCCUGGGGAAUGGGACCGUAGAAGUUGUUGCGUCCAAGAUCAAGAACUGAUAGAGAAUCACUGAAGUUGCUCAGACAUGGAGGAAUUAAUCCUGUCAAAUUGUUGUUAGACAAAUUAAGAAUGUAAAGGGAACUCAAUGUACAGAUCAAUGGGGAAAGUUUUCCAAUGAUUGCAUUGUCUGAGGCAUAAUAAGCGAGAAUAGAUGUUGGUGGAAUUGGCAGCCUUCCCUGCAACUUGUUGUAGCUAAGGUCUAACAGGCUUAACUUAGCCCAAGGAAGAAUAAUUGGUUGUUGCUCAAAGCCUGUGAGAUUGUUUCCUUGCAGGCGUAAUAUCCCGAGAGUAUCUUUACUUAUGUUUAACAUCCAGGCUGGAAUUUGGCCGCGAAUUCUAUUGUUUACAAGAGAAAGCUCCUCAAGUUGAUUUUGGAAGCUCAAAAAAUAUGGGAAAUCUCCGAGGUUGCAUGAAUCGAACUGUAACCUCUUGAAAUUCAAGAGAGUAGUGUUGGUGGAAAGGCCUAUGGUAGCAUGCUGGAUUUUGUUUGCAGGAAAUGAAAGGACCGAACCUUGUAAAUCUAUGCCAUUAAGGUACAAUGUGGUGAGGCUAGUCAGAUUCCAAAGCCAAAACAUGCUUCCUACAUCAAAUUCAUUGUGAGAAAGUUCUAAAUCACGGAGUCGUGAUAAGCCUGCCAAAGAAAGAAUCUGACCACUAAAGUUAUUAUAUUCAAGAUUCAGAACAGUGAGUUGCGUCCGGUUAAGUGAAGCUGGAAUGGAUCCUGAGAACUUGCAGCGUGAUAAGUCCAACUUAUCUAGGAAACUGAGAUUUCCUAUCGUGUUUGGUAGCUCACCAGAGAAAUUGGUGGAAGCAAGUAUCAACUUUUGAAGUGAACUAGAGUGCUGAAAUUCUGGCAAAUGGCCAGUAAGGAGAUAAUUAUCACGUAAGUUGAGAACUCGAAGCUUUGGUAGAUGGAAUAUGGAUGUGGGAAAUGUUCCAUACAACCCACAAUCACUCAAGCUUAUAGUUUUCAGAGAAGAGAUGUUGGGCAAUAUUAAUUUGGAAGUUAUAUUCACCUGACCGAGAUGAAUUUCUUCUAGGCUAGUUAAGUUUUGAAGCAAGCUCUGGAGACCAGGCUUUUCAAGUCUCAAUGGUCCUGAAUUUUGUGAAAGAUCAAGUGAAAUCAAUUUGGACAAUCUGGAAAUUUCCACAGGGAUAGGGCCAGAAAAUACAGAUAGAGAAAGGUUGAGAGUUGUUAGCAGCAAAAGAUGGCUGAUUUCCGAUGGGAUUUGGGAGUAAUUGAAGUGGUUAUCAGCAAGGUUGAGCCUCCUAAGAUGCACUAGGCUGAAGAGGCUGCUGUUGGACUUGAUAGAGCCAAAGAGGAAACUGCUACUGAGGUCAAGAUCAACUACAUGACCUGUAGACUGGUCACACUCGACGCCAUCCCAGGAGCAGCAGUCGCUGCCUCCACCAACUUUGAACUUCCACGAUCGUAGCUUCCAGUAUGCCAAGGGAUCAGAAGAUGCAGAUUUAUUGAAAGAAAAUGCUUGCUUGAAUUGCAAAAGAGCAGAGCUCUCUUCAGCAUGGCAGAGUGGCUGCACGGAAGAGAAAUUAUUAGGAGUUGACGUAAUAAGUUGAAAGCAACAGAUCAUCAAGUGCAUGAACAUAAAGAAAUAUAAAGAGGAAGCCAUGGUAUGUGGCCCAAUUCUUUGGUACUCUUGGAUGAUCAAAAAGAAUGUUAAUGGGGGGAUUUAUAAAGAAGGGGUAUGAGGCAUAUUAAUUAAUUUUCAUUUGACUCUUGAAAUCCCAUUUAAUUGUGGGGAUGGAAAAUUUGAUGGGUGAUAAAAAAAAUUCAAAGUGGACAAUGAUGCAUUUUGAUCAUGAUCAGGCAGCAGUACUGUGUUAUUCAAAUUUGCCAACAAGUUGAAUAUGUAGACCAUAAGCCUUAAUUGGGUGGAAAAUUAUGCACUUGACUUUUUUGGCAUAUAUUUAAUAGGAAGUUGUUGAAGUUUCAUGUUCCAUGACUUUUAUCAUGGACAAUGAUGCACUGGACUUUUUUUAAUCACCCAUUUUGUGCUUGUGUUGAUUGGUUUGGCUAAUUUGCUUUUUCACUUUUAAUUAAUUUAUUUAACUUGCAUAAUUUAUGAGUUACCGUAUACACAUGAAUUUUGUUUAGUGUGCACUUAAAAGAUCAUAUAUUUUUUUUACCUAAUCAUUCUUAACUUAUAAUUGUCAUCUUUUAAAUGCAUAUCGAUGAAAUUACAUAUAAAUUUUGAAUUACUAAGGAAAUGAGUAUAUAUAAUCUAUUACCAACCUUGAAAGAUAGUUUUACAAAUCUUUAAAGGGUUGGAUUUGUUGGUCUUUGCCAUAAGGGAGGCUUAUGGAUAUGGUGAGAUCUUUGACCCCCAGACUAGAGGCUGGCACCUCUAAAGGGUUGGAUUUGUGGGUCUCCAGCUUGAACUUGUUGAGUGGUGGGUGCCAUAAGGGAGAGUUAUGGUGAGAUCUCCGUGUUAUGCAAAUUUUGCAACAAGUUGAAUAUGUAGACCAUAAGACUUAAUUAGGUGGACAAUGAUGCACUGGACUUUUUUGGCAUACAUUUGAUAGGAAGUGAUUGAAAUUUAAUGCUCCAUGACUUCUAUCAUCAAACUCCAGCUGAGUCCCCUUUUCACAUUUUCAAUGUCUGUGCUUUCCCAUUUUGUGCUUGUGCUGAUUUGUUUGGCUAAUUAGCUUAUGAACACUAGCAAUGUCCUGUUUGGAAACUUGCAUACAAACAGAGCCUUGAUUAAGAGCUUUAACUCCGUUGAAAGGGACUGGAUUAGUGAAGGAAAAACUUAUGUGAAUUCCAGUAAAUUUCAUUUAUCUGGUAAGCCCAUGAAUGCAUAUUAGUGAGAUGAUUUCACCUGGAAAUAGAUGACUGAAACAUUGGCCAUUCAAUCCCACGAAGCUAGAAGAAAUACACAUGGUAUUAUGCAUAAAAUUGGUCUCAUAAAACAUAUUAUCAGAUCAACUUCAAUUCCCUUCCCUCUUCUCUUCCUCUUGCUUCCCUGAUUUUGUUUUUGCCUCCCAAAGGUCUCUCCAAGAACCAUUCGUGAUACUUACAAGUUAGCAUUUUCCCCAUGGCAAUCACAACCAUUGUCCCAACUCCAAAUCCCGUGAAUAUGAGAAUCCAAUCAGCUAUGCCAAGCAAUGAUGAAUCUUUGCUUUCUUCAGAGUGACGGUGGCGGCGGCAGCAAUUACAAGUCCCUUCGUCCGAGUUGUUUUGAGAUGGUUGUUAAGAGAUCCCACCUAGAAGUUUGUUUUGAGAAAAGUGCAAGGUAGAGGAAGAGACCAUAAGCAGCUCAGAAAGGCUUCAAAUAAAAGGAUGGCAAGUAACCCCUUUUAUACGCAUCUAAUUUGUUGAGUAAAGCAUUUAAUUGCUGUUAAAUCCCUGAAUAUAAAUCUAACCAGUUUGUCUAAUUAGUUAAUUGGAUUAUAUUCUGUUUUAGAUGCAACUGUGAGUUAAUUGUGCUAUCAAUCUUAUCAUAAUGAAGUGUUGUUACAAAAA